UACGUAGGGGCCGAGCGUUGUCCGGAGUUACUGGGCGUAAAGCGCGCGCAGGCGGCUCGUCAAGCCUGACGUGAAAGCCCCCGGCUCAACCGGGGAGGGUCGUCGGGGACUGGCGAGCUUGAGGUCGGCAGGGGCUGGUGGAAUUCCCGGUGUAGUGGUGAAAUGCGUAGAGAUCCGGAAGAACACCGGUGGCGAAGGCGGCCUGCUGGGCGGCGACUGACGCUGAGGCGCGACAGCGUGGGGGAGCAAACAGGG
rnacentral:rRNA from 1 species